rnacentral:rRNA from 1 species
GUCUACAGCCAUGCCACCCUGAACAUGCCCAAUCUCGUCUGAUCUCGGAAACUAAGCAGGGUCUGGGUAGUACUUGGAUAGGAGACCACCUAGGAAGACCAGGUGCUGUAGGCA